rnacentral:rRNA from 1 species
GACGUAGGUGGCGAACGUUAUCCGGAAUCACUGGGCGUAAAGGGUGCGUAGGCGGGUCUUUAAGUCAGGGGUGAAAUCCUGGAGCUCAACUCCAGAACUGCCUUUGAUACUGAAGAUCUUGAGUCCGGGAGAGGUGAGUGGAACUGCGAGUGUAGAGGUGAAAUUCGUAGAUAUUCGCAAGAACACCAGUGGCGAAGGCGGCUCACUGGCCCGGUACUGACGCUGAGGCACGAAAGCGUGGGGAGCAAACAGG